UAAAAAUUGGACUUCAGAUUUCAGAGGGAAAAUUAAUUGGCUACUAAAGUCGUUAGUUGGAAAAACGUCUUUAUUUAUUAUUGGCGACUACAAAAAUUGGUCGGGAAGGAAAAUAAACUAGGUUUAAAAAAUACACUUCCAUACGCUCAGACUCUCAUACGUUUUUCUGUCUCUCACUCUGUGACUCUCUCUCUCUCUCUCUUUCUCACUCUCUCACGUCUCUGCCCUCUCUCUCGCCUUUGUCUCCAUCGUCGUCGGGUACGGGAGCAUCACCGUCAUCGCACACGAGCACCACCGUUAAUCCACCAUUGGAGCAUUACCCCAGCUCUGUUCUGAUAGCAGCUCUGUUCUUGACACUGGCGAGCUCGGACGCCCCUUUCAUCGUCGCCCACAAGAAGGCCACUCUCACCAGGCUCAAGUCCAGUGUCGAACGUGUCUUCGCUUCCAUCGACAUCUACAACCAAGGAUCUGCGUAUGCGAUUCCACCAUUUCCUUUCUCUUUAGUCUUCUUUGAUCUCUCUAAAUUCUACAGUAGGAAUAACCAACACGCAUAACCAAAAAUUAUAAUUAAAAUAUUGUCAUGACGAAAAUUAAUCCUACUGAAAGAAUAAGAAGAAAAUAGCAUAAGUGCAUAGUACGAAUUUCCCUCUAUUGUAAUAAACUGCAAGAGAGAAAAUUAGUAGUAAUGAAGAUGUGGAACUAUGGUAAGAUUUAUAUUUCAAAUUCUACGAGUCUUUCACAGUAAUUUUUCUAACAACUUAGGUGAAAGUCAUAAUUUUUUGGAAAAUUCUUGAAUUUACGUAGGCCUUGUAGCUGAAAAAGUGUUAUCUAGUCGGUCUCUCAACUUUGAUGGGAAAUAAGUAUGGAAGAUAAACUAGAACUUCAAUUCUUGAAUUUGUGAACUAUAGCAUAUUGCCCUUUAAAUCUGAUUGGGUAAGAGAAAUUGUAGGUAAAUGGGAAUUAAAAAGAUAUAAAAUAUCCCUUAUUGAAUAUUUCAACCAUAUUUUGAUGCUUGUUUUAUUCAACUCAGCUUAAACUUGACUUGAGAGGUCGAUAAUUUUAUGAGACUAACCAAGAAACCAAGCUCUAAUUGCUUGGUUUUUUAUGGGCUUGAGUAGAAUCUUGCUUGAGAUCAUUCAUGCAAUAAACUAGUAAACCUCAAUCUUCAUUUUAUAUCUCACCAAAUUUUCUAAUCAAGCUUGAGCAACCCAUUACUUGGCUCAGCUAGUAUUGUUUUCAUUGAACAAUUUUGAAUAGUCUAAAAAAGGAUAGCCCUGUGAUUCUAUGUCCCACUUCAAUGCUAAUGGAUCAGGACUUGAAUCAUGGAUUGUCUUGUAAACACUCUUGAGAAUGCAGUGCUCUCAUAAUAUUGAGAAUGCAGUUCAUUGUCUACUUGUUGUUUGACUCCUCGUAAUCUUAAGGGGAGUUGCUUGGAUAUAUGAUGCUUCUAAUGCAGACUCCUGUGGUUUAUGGAAGGGGAUGGGUAGGUUGUACAUUGUACAGCUGAUGUUGUUCAUCUGAGUUUGUCUAGCUUAUACUAAGUUAGAAACUUAUGGAUAAUUUGAAAUUAUCAAUUGUUUUUCUAAAUGAUAAUUCUAUUUUUGUCCCUCUUUAACUCCUUAAGCCUGUAGGCCAUUUCAUCUAUAGUGGUAAGUGUUCAUACCAAGCUCACACUUGUAGUACAAUUAUUUGCUUCCUCACUGAGAUGGUUUUAGAAAAGAUUUCAUGUUGGAUCUUAGACCAAUAUGGGAAUUUUUCAGAAGCUUUUAAUGUUGACGGGCUAUUUUAGUACUUACAAUGAAUUGAUUUUUUUUUUUUAAGCAGCUUUUAGGUUUGUUGUUGAUUUUAGGUCAAUAAGGAAGGAACUUAACGAGAUUGACUUUGUGGACGUUUGAUGUUUGAAGGGCACCACACUUUGCAAUCCGAUAUUUAGGUCAACUGGCUGUCAUUGUGAUUUUGUUGUGUGUUUUGCCCUUUCUUACACAACAUGCUGUUAAGUUUCAAAUAAUUUUCAUAAUUCCUCAAACCUAUGCCUCAGAUAUUAUUUAAGGAAAAAGGGAGCCAGACUUUGUUGCAUAUUCUCAAGUUUGCCAAACUUUUACUAUUUUGACUUUGUGGCCACAGAAAUGUAGCACUGUAGGGAACAUUUUCUUGGGCAUAUUUUCUAUUACUGUUCUUCAUUUCUAUACUUCACAAAAAACCUGGAGCUUACAUUUAGGCUUUUUAUUAUUGGAAAAAAUGGGCUUAGACUUGCAGAAUAUCUACAUGUUUUUUUAGAGAUAUGUUCUAAUAAUUUAGAAGCUAAUCAAUUUUGGUUUUUGCCUCAAGUCUUGAUUUGCUUGCUCUUAAAUGUACUCUUUUCCUGCCUUACUCACUCAGUAACUGUCUAUCUAUAAUACAUAAGUCGUCUUCUGGAACGCUCUGUUUGAACUAUUGGAAACUUUAUAUGGAACUGAUAUUGGUAGCUGGAUGAAAGAGCAUUCUAUACCCUUUCCUUUUUAAUUUAAUCUUUUCUCUUUUAAGCAUCCUCAUGUAUCUUGCAAUCUUACUUGUCAAACCCAGCCUCAACAUUGACCUUUUGUGGGUGGGAUCAGUGAGUUUUGUGGAGAGUAGUUAUAAAUAUAUUAAUUUAGGGAAAUUAUAUGCACACACCCCCUUUAUAUGUGCCUUUAGUUACAAUCUUUGUGUCUUUGAUUACAUGACCUAUUGUGCUGUUAGUUAUGACAGAUUGUGAUGUUGGUUAUGACAUUAUUUUGGUUAUAAUCUAAGAGUUGUUUGGUUACAUCUCAUGUGAUGUUUGGUUAUAACUCAAAUUUUUAUUUUUAUUUUUUUUAUAGUUAGGACUCCCAUAGCAUGUAUGGAUUUUCGAUGAACGCUCUCGAAAUUUUUUUCGAUCAAAUCCAGGAAAGAAUUCUCAUCUAUAUAUAAAUACAUUGUAUAUGCCCUAUUACUACCUUUGUUCUUCAUGUUUUAUAUCUGAAUGUGGUCAGAUUGAAUUCGAAUGUGCCUUUUGUGAUUUAUUUUCUUGAAUUUUUUUUUAUAAAUAUUAUAUAUGAAUUACUGUGCUUCGUUUGUGGAGUUAAAAAAAAAAAAUGAUCAGCUUUAUAUUUGCUUUUUUAAUGUUUGUGUUUUGUGGAUACUCUCUCAAUCAAUUUCUUCUUUUUUGUCAUCCAGGUACUUUCUUUAUAUAAAUCUAUACCACAUAGAUUACAUAUACGAAGAUGGUUUUGGACAUAAAAUAUGGAUAUGAUUUUUUUUGACAAGUACGGAAGGGCAUUGUUUUUAUACAUCUACCCAUAUAUAUAGUGGUUUGUACAAAUUACUUUUUUGGUGUGGUAAAUAUCAGCUAAUUUGGCAUGGUAGAAAUUAGCAUAUAUGCUAAUUUAGGUUGUGGUACAUAUGUCCUUUUUGUUAAUUAAUUUGGUUAGUCCUUGGUUAUGUAUGGAAUUAAAUUAUUUACGUUGGAUUAUACUUGGUUCAUAUGGAAUUUGUAUUAUAUAUAGAA